GCACCGUUAGCCCAACUGGAUAGAGCAUUCGGCUACGGACCGAAAGGUUAGGGAUUCGAAUUCCUUACGGUGCACCA
rnacentral:tRNA from 1 species